AGUGACGAUAGCCUAGGAGAUACACCUGUACCCAUGCCGAACACAGAAGUUAAGCCCUAGAACGCCGGAAGUAGUUG
rnacentral:rRNA from 1 species